UAUCUUAUUUAUUGGAAUAAGAUUUGUUCUCAUUUUGCAUAAAUUCUUUAUGUCGCAAAAUGGCGUCUCAACAAUAUUAAUAUUUCUUACUACAACUCAACUACGUUACUGCCACCAUUCAGUUCGUCUUGUACAAUUACAUUUAGUGUAGUGAUUACUGGAUUAACAAAACCUGAUUUCAUUUGGUACAACAGAGAAUUCUAUAUCCUUAUAUUUGGCCCUUAUAACUACCUCACGGAUGUUGGCUUCGAAAGCCAAAUAUCGUAUUUCCGUCACUUUGUUAGCGUUUAUUUCCACCUUUUAAGGAUCAAAGAAUGUUUCCAGGAGGGGCGAAAAUAAUCCCCCAGUAAUCCUAACAGAGUGUUACUAUUUAUGUAUUUCAUGAUUUGUGCUUGAGGGUAUGAAAAUAUAGCACUUCAUAUGUUAAGUCGAGUCGUAUGCAGUCAGGCAUUGUAGGCUUAUAUAUAAACUGCACAAUGUUUUACGGGCUGCAAAAUAUAUAACGAGGAAGCAAACAGAUUAACAUGAUUACAACAGGUGGGAUAGGAAAUACCGGAAUAUUAUGUAUGGUAGGUGUUGUCGGUUCAUGUGAAACAAUAUAUACUAGUAGUUACCAUUUAUGUUAAAUACAUCCAUCAGUGUUCAUCAGUGUUGUGGUGAGAGACUGAGAGUUUCUUAUGUGUGUCUAGCGAUGACAGGAACCAUAGCUUGAGUUGUUUAUUACUUCUGUAGGCCACAAAUACAGCUUUGGAGGAGAAAACCAGUCCCGACCGAAGCUAAACUCAGUGAACUACAACAUAACAAAGUUUUGUAGGAGGCGUGUGGUUGUGAUUUGUGACGGCAGCGGACAAUAAAAAAAACGCACUUCUGUCCAGCUCUGUUCGUUCGCAGUUUGGUCUACUAGCGAGGAGUCAAAGUCUUCACAAACUACAUGAUUAGUCUUCAAGGUGUCACGGAGCGUUGGAGCCAAAGUGGCCCUCCUGUGCUCCGAGUUUAUGUGCGUUGGGACGGUGUUGCGGACAAAACAAUCAUUCACCCAGCCGUUCGUCAACCUCACCUACGGCAGGGUGUUAUGUUGUCGUCGCUUUUUGGUUUGCCAUUUGUCAACCGGUGUUGUCUGAAGGUCCAGUCUUGUCGCUCGGACAGCGUUGUGUAAGUGUUGGCGACUCAGAAGGAGACGCAGAAGACUAGCUAGACUUGUUGGACUUGGAUUUGCCCGGUGACUUCUAGCUGAAGCCGGCAACUUGAGCUCAACAACAAGGCAGCUGGUGACAGGAUGAUCUCAGUCAUAGCCCUGCAGACUAGCGACAGCGGCGACACACACGUACACACGACGCCGCCUGGCGAAGUGCAGCUACGCGAUGUUGCAGCGGAGAUAACGGGAAGAGGAGAAGCGUCAGUACCAACAAAUUUGGGCGAUCCUCCUUCACACAUGAGACUACAGCUAGCUGUUGGGCAGAGGGCCCGGCGUUCCCGGCCUGGUCAGCCCGCUGACAGACGGUGAUGGAUGGCGCGGGGCACCGCCGGUCCAGCCUUCGGUUUCGAUCACACUUAUCACCGGCGGGCACGACAGCGCGCGACGGUGGGGGACGACACCCGGGUGAUUUAUCGGGCCCGUCCUCGGACGUGCGGUGGCUGGAGACAAAAACGUGAUGAAUGGGACAUUUCGGCGGAGGGGACCGGGGCAGGAUUCAUCAAAGCGCCGCGCCUCUCCCGGGAGAGCUCACCCCGCUCCUCCGACCCUUUCAGCCGAUGACCAAUCACCCACCUCGUCUUCCACAACGUCCCGGCCGGCUACUAGUUAAAAAGAUAAGCCCUUAUUAAUACCCGCGUCCCUCCCGCUAUCUGCGCCGAUCUACAGGGAUAAACCGCGUGCGAAUGGGCAAUUAUUGUUAUCAAUUUCAUAUCGCUCAGACAGAGCAACUUAGCCUAUCUGUGGAGCGUUAGGUUUUAUUGGUUUCAUUCUCACCUGUCGGAUUUGGCCCUGGGAGGACGGGAAAUUACGACAGUGAUGGCGGCCGAAGAUCGGCAAUUUAAUUAAACUCCGAACGAUUAAAGGGGCACUUUGGUUUAUCAACCGAAUCCACUUAGGGCGUUUUAAUGAAAGGGAGAUUUCCCUCUGCAAAUCAGAUCGGAAAGUUUGUCCAUAAAUUUCCGGGAGGGUAAACUUAACUUCCGGGAAGUUUUAGGAGAGUCAUAAAAAGUAGUCGGAGAGCAAACUUUUAAAAGUGUCGAAGGGACUGGACUGGACGAAGGGAAGAGUAGAGUUCGCCUGAACUUUGUUGCAAUGUUCUAUUGUAAACGAGUGACAAAAUCGUCCUCAAGUAUCUAUACUGUAUGUUUUGCUUUUAAUUUAAAACUCCAGGAAGAAUAGCAUUUGUAUAUAUGUACAAUAAAUGUAUCUUAUAUGUGUAUUAA